AUUAAAUGGUGUCAACAACAUCCUCCGAGGUCACGGCAGAGUCCCCCCGCGGUGAGUGCGAGCUGGCAGGAAUCUACACCGCUGUGUGAUGGCUCUGUGGCAGUUUUGACACAGACUGUAAUCUGUGCUGGACUUUGGCUCUGAUUACACAUGUCUGAGGGAGGAAAACAAGGACUGCCAGCACUGGGCUCAUUCCAGGCUUUUCAGCAUUCAAGAGGACUCAAGUCGGCCUAGAAGGCUUACUCACCAACCGGCGAAUAAGUGUUUGUCCUCUCCAGACUCCAGACUUUUGUGAAACAUGUCAGGAGCUGCUUGGUAAGUUUUGUUUUCUUAUCUUGGCUAAAUAUGCCAUGC